rnacentral:rRNA from 1 species
UACGGGGGGGGCAAGCGUUGUUCGGAAUUACUGGGCGUAAAGGGCUCGUAGGCGGCCAACUAAGUCCGACGUGAAAUCCCAAGGCUUAACCUUGGAACUGCGUCGGAUACUGGAUGGCUUGAAUUCGGGAGAGGGAUGCAGAAUUCCAGGUGUAGCGGUGAAAUGCGCAGAUAUCAGGAGGAACACCGGUGGCGAAGGCGGGUCUCUGGGCCACUACUGACGCUGAGGAGCGAAAGCGUGGGGAGCGAACAGG